rnacentral:rRNA from 1 species
UGGGGAAUAUUGCACAAUGGAGGGAACUCUGAUGCAGCGACGCCGCGUGAACGAAGAAGGCUUUCGAGUCGUAAAGUUCUUUUAUAUGGGAAGAUAAUGACGGUCCCAUAAGAAAAAGCCCCGGCUAACUACGUGCCAGCAGCCGCGGUAAUACGUAGGGGGCUAGCGUUGUCCGGAAUCACUGGGCGUAAAGGGUUCGCAGGCGGAAAUGCAAGUCAGGUGUAAAAGGCAGUAGCUUAACUACUGUAAGCAUUUGAAACUGCAUAUCUUGAGAAGAGUAGAGGUAAGUUGAAUUUUUAGUGUAGCAGUGUAAUGCGUAGAUAUUAGAAAGAAUAACGGUGGCGAAGGCGACUUACUGGGCUCAUUCUGACGCUGAGGAACGAAAGCGUGGGUAGAAAACAGG